UCACACCAUUGGAGGUAGAUGUUCUUAGCUUGGAGUCAUGUCUGGUGUCACAAUCUUUAAGGCGUCACCAGUACCCACUUGAACUAGUUGUCCAUAAAAAAUAAAAUUGAUUUUGGUGCGUAUAUAUAAAAUAUAGAAACAAAAUUGUUGGGAGGAUCUUACAAACAAAGUCACUCAUAAAACCCAAGAGAGCGUCAUGUUAAAAAAAAUAAAGAGAAAAAAAAGAAGAAGCAAAUGAAGUUUAAAAAUUCACUAGUGGAAAGGCUUUCGCAGGAAGCAUGGGAAUGGGUUGACACCUAAACCCCAGCACUGGCUUAUUAUAUUUAGUCUUGAAAGCAACAAAAACAAAGAACUACUUUCAAUUCCCAUUUGCCUAAUCUUUUUAAAAAUACUAAUUUACUACACAUUAUAUACUUAAAAUUUAGAGAUAUUUAGUGAUAUACUUAUUCUUAGUACUAAUAUUAUAAAUAAAC
rnacentral:lncRNA from 1 species